rnacentral:lncRNA from 1 species
UCUGAACUCAGUGGCAGCCUUUGCCACUUUGCUUAUAGACCCUGGAAAGCAUAGGCCUUCUUUCUGCUUGAGAUUUAAGAAAACCCAUGCCCCUAGAAAUUGUUCAUUCACUUUUCCAGAGCAAAGUACUGUCUUUCUCAAAGUUAAUGCACUGGCCAUUUUGAGUUCUGGGGCUUUUGGUUUAGACACAGUCUUUAUAAAUGACCAUAUUCCACAAUUGAAGCACAGGGCUUUUGCUAUUGGAGACCUCUAGUAUAGCUUGAUCUAUCAACAUGGUACGCAUUCGAACCAAUAUGGGUCAUAUCCCUUACCUGUUAAAACAUAGGCACUGCCCAUGCCUUUACUGGUCUAAGGUAGCUUUUAUUUAUUUUUGCUACUUUGUGUGGGAUCUUCAUGGAUUCUUCUUUCUCCUUACAGUAUCUCCUCUAGCUAGAAUCAGCUUCUCCAGCUUAAUCUCCUCUCUAACCCUACUGAGUCUUUUGUCUUCUGCAUCAUCUGUCUUCUCUGACCCCUACUCUCUCACCCUACCCCCUCUUCUUUCUCUCCAGU